rnacentral:tRNA from 1 species
UCCUUAGUUCAGUCGGUAGAACGGCGGACUGUUAAUCCGUAUGUCACUGGUUCAAGUCCUGUCGAGGGAGCCA